CCGCCGGCGACCGGCGCACGGGUGAGUAACACGUAUGCAACCUGGCCGUGACAGAUGGAUAACCCGGGAGAAAUCCCGCCUAAUACAACAUAAUGCCGGGAGGGGACAUCCCCUGCCGGCCAAAGGGGGCGACCCCGGUCACGGAUGGGCAUGCGGCGCAUUAGGUAGUUGGUGGGGCAACGGCCCACCAAGCCGACGAUGCGUAGGGGUUCUGAGAGGAAGGUCCCCCACAUUGGAACUGAGACACGGUCCAAACUCCUACGGGAGGCAGCAG
rnacentral:rRNA from 1 species